rnacentral:lncRNA from 1 species
UAGGAAUUGUCAAGCAGAAAUUCCAACAGCAGAGCUCCCAAGUGACUGGCAUUCAGCAGCAUCCUCCUGAAAGAGCUAGGAAAAGGUUU